ACUAAGCGUACACGGUGGAUGCCCUGGCAGUCAGAGGCGAUGAAGGACGUGCUAAUCUGCGAUAAGCGUCGGUAAGGUGAUAUGAACCGUUAUAACCGGCGAUUUCCGAAUGGGGAAACCCAGUGUGUUUCGACACACUAUCAUUAACUGAAUCCAUAGGUUAAUGAGGCGAACCGGGGGAACUGAAACAUCUAAGUACCCCGAGGAAAAGAAAUCAACCGAGAUUCCCCCAGUAGCGGCGAGCGAACGGGGAGCAGCCCAGAGCCUGAAUCAGUGUGUGUGUUAGUGGAAGCGUCUGGAAAGGCGCGCGAUACAGGGUGACAGCCCCGUACACAAAAAUGCACAUGCUGUGAGCUCGAUGAGUAGGGCGGGACACGUGGUAUCCUGUCUGAAUAUGGGGGGACCAUCCUCCAAGGCUAAAUACUCCUGACUGACCGAUAGUGAACCAGUACCGUGAGGGAAAGGCGAAAAGAACCCCGGCGAGGGGAGUGAAAAAGAACCUGAAACCGUGUACGUACAAGCAGUGGGAGCACGCUUAGGCGUGUGACUGCGUACCUUUUGUAUAAUGGGUCAGCGACUUAUAUUCUGUAGCAAGGUUAACCGAAUAGGGGAGCCGAAGGGAAACCGAGUCUUAACUGGGCGUUAAGUUGCAGGGUAUAGACCCGAAACCCGGUGAUCUAGCCAUGGGCAGGUUGAAGGUUGGGUAACACUAACUGGAGGACCGAACCGACUAAUGUUGAAAAAUUAGCGGAUGACUUGUGGCUGGGGGUGAAAGGCCAAUCAAACCGGGAGAUAGCUGGUUCUCCCCGAAAGCUAUUUAGGUAGCGCCUCGUGAAUUCAUCUCCGGGGGUAGAGCACUGUUUCGGCAAGGGGGUCAUCCCGACUUACCAACCCGAUGCAAACUGCGAAUACCGGAGAAUGUUAUCACGGGAGACACACGGCGGGUGCUAACGUCCGUCGUGAAGAGGGAAACAACCCAGACCGCCAGCUAAGGUCCCAAAGUCAUGGUUAAGUGGGAAACGAUGUGGGAAGGCCCAGACAGCCAGGAUGUUGGCUUAGAAGCAGCCAUCAUUUAAAGAAAGCGUAAUAGCUCACUGGUCGAGUCGGCCUGCGCGGAAGAUGUAACGGGGCUAAACCAUGCACCGAAGCUGCGGCAGCGACGCUUAUGCGUUGUUGGGUAGGGGAGCGUUCUGUAAGCCUGUGAAGGUGUGCUGUGAGGCAUGCUGGAGGUAUCAGAAGUGCGAAUGCUGACAUAAGUAACGAUAAAGCGGGUGAAAAGCCCGCUCGCCGGAAGACCAAGGGUUCCUGUCCAACGUUAAUCGGGGCAGGGUGAGUCGACCCCUAAGGCGAGGCCGAAAGGCGUAGUCGAUGGGAAACAGGUUAAUAUUCCUGUACUUGGUGUUACUGCGAAGGGGGGACGGAGAAGGCUAUGUUGGCCGGGCGACGGUUGUCCCGGUUUAAGCGUGUAGGCUGGUUUUCCAGGCAAAUCCGGAAAAUCAAGGCUGAGGCGUGAUGACGAGGCACUACGGUGCUGAAGCAACAAAUGCCCUGCUUCCAGGAAAAGCCUCUAAGCAUCAGGUAACACAAAAUCGUACCCCAAACCGACACAGGUGGUCAGGUAGAGAAUACCAAGGCGCUUGAGAGAACUCGGGUGAAGGAACUAGGCAAAAUGGUGCCGUAACUUCGGGAGAAGGCACGCUGAUAUGUAGGUGAGGUCCCUCGAAGCUCUUGAUCGAAGCCCCGGUAAACGGCGGCCGUAACUAUAACGGUCCUAAGGUAGCGAAAUUCCUUGUCGGGUAAGUUCCGACCUGCACGAAUGGCGUAAUGAUGGCCAGGCUGUCUCCACCCGAGACUCAGUGAAAUUGAACUCGCUGUGAAGAUGCAGUGUACCCGCGGCAAGACGGAAAGACCCCGUGAACCUUUACUAUAGCUUGACACUGAACAUUGAGCCUUGAUGUGUAGGAUAGGUGGGAGGCUUUGAAGUGUGGACGCCAGUCUGCAUGGAGCCGACCUUGAAAUACCACCCUUUAAUGUUUGAUGUUCUAACGUUGACCCCUAAUCGGGGUUGCGGACAGUGUCUGGUGGGUAGUUUGACUGGGGCGGUCUCCUCCUAAAGAGUAACGGAGGAGCACGAAGGUUGGCUAAUCCUGGUCGGACAUCAGGAGGUUAGUGCAAUGGCAUAAGCCAGCUUGACUGCGAGCGUGACGGCGCGAGCAGGUGCGAAAGCAGGUCAUAGUGAUCCGGUGGUUCUGAAUGGAAGGGCCAUCGCUCAACGGAUAAAAGGUACUCCGGGGAUAACAGGCUGAUACCGCCCAAGAGUUCAUAUCGACGGCGGUGUUUGGCACCUCGAUGUCGGCUCAUCACAUCCUGGGGCUGAAGUAGGUCCCAAGGGUAUGGCUGUUCGCCAUUUAAAGUGGUACGCGAGCUGGGUUUAGAACGUCGUGAGACAGUUCGGUCCCUAUCUGCCGUGGGCGCUGGAGAACUGAGGGGGGCUGCUCCUAGUACGAGAGGACCGGAGUGGACGCAUCACUGGUGUUCGGGUUGUCAUGCCAAUGGCACUGCCCGGUAGCUAAAUGCGGAAGAGAUAAGUGCUGAAAGCAUCUAAGCACGAAACUUGCCCCGAGAUGAGUUCUCCCUGACCCUUUAAGGGUCCUGAAGGAACGUUGAAGACGACGACGUUGAUAGGCCGGGUGUGUAAGCGCAGCGAUGCGUUGAGCUAACCGGUACUAAUGAACCGUGAGGCUUAACCUUACAACGCCGAAGCUGUU
rnacentral:rRNA from 1 species